rnacentral:lncRNA from 1 species
GGUCACCAUAGUGACAGGGGAAGUAUUGGACCUGGCACGUAGCUGAAGCCAAAGUGAGAUUCCUGGGGCGCACCUGGGAGGCUGCAGAAUGUCACCAGACAAGGAAGCCUAGCAGGAAGGAAGGUUGGGAACAGGAAAUUGCCAGUAUCAAGAAAGGCGUAUACGGAACAGUAUUCUCUGUGCACCUCUGCCUUCCGCUUGCUCUCGGCCCCGUUCCCUUCAGCGAGCACCUGAUCCCAUUAAGUAAACUUUCUACUAUUUAGAAAGCAAGCCACGUAUCAAGUGUACACCCCCACCCCUUCCUUCACCCCAGAUAUUGUGCUGGCCCUGGAUGAUAAAAAAUAGGUAGUCUCUUCCCGAGUCUCCAAGAAGCUCACGGUAUAGCAGGCGGUUUGGAUGCAGUCAUAGAAACCUCCGGAAAUGCAUCAUGGGAUAUGUGUCUGCAGUGGCCGAUGUAGCAGUGCACCCUGAAUGAAAGCAGGGAAUGAACCCAGCUCCAGGACAGGGGAAGAGGAGCCCUGGAAAGUUUCUGGGGCAGACACCAGAACCAAGGGGGCAAAGGCAACUGAGGAGGAAGAAGUUGGUGGAUGUUUUGGGGGAUCUUGGAGAGCUACGAAUGCAGAAUUGAAGAAAGCAGAGGUGGGAUUUAUAGCAUUCCUGAUGACAAACAGUGCUAGGUUUUCAGCUUUUUCCUUUCUCUAAAAACAUCUCCCAAACUGGAUGCCAACUGGCUUCAAGGGAAGUCAGUAGACUUGCAGUGCUUUUUCAUUUUUAAGGGUGCUGUGGAGGGAUGUGGGUCCGCUUAAUUUUGUUUCCUAUAGAGGUCAGUUUCUCUGUCAUCAUAGACAGCACUGGGAAUCAUAGCCCUCUUCCCUGUCUCUGGCCAAGACCCUUGACAGAGGUGAGACUGGAGCUUGAAAGCCAAGUGGCCACCUACAACAGAGGAUGCCUUACCUUCUAGAGCUUUCUGGGCUGUGGAGCUGGGGACUUGCCAAGCCUUUCCCUUAUUCUAGUUCCUGUUAACAUCCAGACCCUCAGUAUGUCUCCUCAGACCAAAAAACAAAGGACUAAAAACUCCCAGAGCAUUUUUUGCUGAAUGACAGAACAUGGAAUAAAUGUUCCACACCCAUUGGCCUGACCUAAAUG